AAAAAAUAGUUAACACAGUGGUCUAUUGAUGUUAAUUCCACAUCCCCACAAAUUCAUUCUGCCACUUAGUUAUUUUAUAAAAAAAUAUAUUUCUGACACCACCUCAGAUUUGACAAACAAAAUUUUGCCGUCGGCAACAACAAUUUACGAUUUGGUAAGGGGUUGAAGUACGUCACAAAAGCCAUCCCGAAGGUUGCCAUACUGUUCGUGGGCAGGCAGAUAAAAGUACUUAUAAAAUAUAAAAGAAUUCAUUAAUUAAUUAAAAGGAGGGCCACACGUGUUCUUUGUAAAUAAUGCUAUAUAAUUUAGUUACUAAAAUGGUCAAGGUGCAGUAAAAAAGUAAUUGCGAACAUCGGAAUUAAAGCUGUGAAAAAGGUGGCAACUCAAGAUUUUCUCUAGCAAAAAUUUGGCGAAAACCAGAGCACCUAAAAACGAAAUCGUACGAUUUGGCCCAAAUCGAAAUCGAAAAAAUCUUACGAUUACCGGAGCAUGCCUGAUUUUAAAUUUUGAUAGAAAUUGAACUGUCGCUAUAGCCAACGCCAAUGCGUCCGUGUUUAAUUAUUUGUUUAUGUAAAACUAAUUACACGGGAUCAUUACGGUAGAGUAUACCCUGCAUGCCUGUUAGAAUUUUCGGUUUCGUUUUUGGUCACUCCCUUUUCUUUUGCAUUUGCAUUCAAUUGUAGAACGUGACACGUGGUAUUUUGGAAAAUUUUCAACGUGAAAUAUAUAAAACCGAUAGCAUAAGCAUAUUAAAAGGACAGCCCAGCAGCCAUCGGAGAAGGCUUGCCCCACUGGCCGCACUGGCAUGUGUUGAAAAGAAC